UACGGAGGGUGCAAGCGUUGUUCGGAAUCAUUGGGCGUAAAGCGCGUGUAGGCGGCCAACUAAGUCUGAUGUGAAAUCCCAGGGCUCAACCCUGGAACUGCAUCGGAUACUGGAUGGCUAGAGGAUGAGAGAGGAUGGUGGAAUUCCUGGUGUAGGGGUGAAAUCUGUAGAUAUCAGGAGGAACAUCGGUGGCGAAGGCAGGUCUCUGGGCUGACACUGACGCUCAUGCACGAAAGCGUGGGGAGCAAACAGG
rnacentral:rRNA from 1 species